GAGGGUGAAAGCGGGGGAUCGCAAGACCUCGCGCGACAGGAGCGGCCGAUGGCGGAUUAGCUAGUUGGUGAGGUAAAGGCUCACCAAGGCGACGAUCCGUAGCUGGUCUGAGAGGACGACCAGCCACACUGGGACUGAGACACGGCCCAGACUCCUACGGGAGGCAGCAGUGGGGAAUUUUGGACAAUGGGCGCAAGCCUGAUCCAGCCAUUCCGCGUGAGUGAAGAAGGCCUUCGGGUUGUAAAGCUCUUUCGGCAGGAACGAAACGGUGCAGGCUAAUAUCCUGUAUCAAUGACGGUACCUGAAGAAGAAGCACCGGCUAACUACGUGCCAGCAGCCGCGGUAAUACGUAGGGUGCGAGCGUUAAUCGGAAUUACUGGGCGUAAAGCGUGCGCAGGCGGCUUUGUAAGACAGGUGUGAAAUCCCCGGGCUUAACCUGGGAACUGCGCUUGUGACUGCAAGGCUUGAGUGUGGCAGAGGGGGGUGGAAUUCCACGUGUAGCAGUGAAAUGCGUAGAGAUGUGGAGGAACACCGAUGGCGAAGGCAGCCCCCUGGGUCAACACUGACGCUCAUGCACGAAAGCGUGGGUAGCAAACAGGAUUAGAUACCCUGGUAGUCCACGCCCUAAACGAUGCCAACUAGGUGUUGGGGAAGGAGACUUCCUUAGUACCGUAGCUAA
rnacentral:rRNA from 1 species